GGAGGGGGCAAGCGUUACUCGGAAUUAUUGGGCGUAAAGGGCGCGUAGGCGGUCUUGUGCGUCGAGGGUGAAAUCCCCGGGCUUAACCCGGGAACUGCCUUCGAUACGGCGAGACUUGAGUCCGGGAGAGGGGAGCAGAAUUCCCAGUGUAGCGGUGAAAUGCGUAGAUAUUGGGAGGAAUACCAGUGGCGAAGGCGGCUCCCUGGACCGGUACUGACGCUGAGGCGCGAAAGCGUGGGUAGCAAACAGGAUUAGAUACCCUGGUAGUCCACGCCGUAAACGAUGGGUGCUUGGUGUCGGGGGUAUCGACCCCUCCGGUGCCGAAGCUAACGCAUUAAGCACCCCGCCUGGGGAGUACGGUCGCAAGGCUG
rnacentral:rRNA from 1 species